CCUACGGGUGGCUGCAGUGAGGAAUAUUGGUCAAUGGGCGGGAGCCUGAACCAGCCAAGUCGCGUGAGGGAAGACGGUCCUAUGGAUUGUAAACCUCUUUUGGCGGGGAGCAAUGCCGGGCACGCGUGCCCGGAGGGAGAGUACCCGCAGAAUAAGCAUCGGCUAACUCCGUGCCAGCAGCCGCGGUCAUACGGAGGAUGCGUGCGUUAUCCGGAUUUGUUGGGUUUAAAGGGUGCGUAGGCGGAUUUUUAAGUCAGCGGUAAAAUGUCGGGGCUCAACCCGGGCCGGCCGUUGAAACUGGGGAUUUUGAGGGGGCGAGAAGUAUGCGGAAUGCGUGGUGUAGCGGUGAAAUGCAUAGAUAUCACGCAGAACUCCGAUUGCGAAGGCAGCAUACCGGCGCCCGACUGACGCUGAGGCACGAAAGCGUGGGUAUCGAACAGGAUUAGAUACCCGGGUAGUC
rnacentral:rRNA from 1 species